rnacentral:rRNA from 1 species
AACAGGAUUAGAUACCCUGGUAGUCCACGCCCUAAACGAUGUCAACUGGUUGUUGGGAGGGUUUCUUCUCAGUAACGUAGCUAACGCGUGAAGUUGACCGCCUGGGGAGUACGGCCGCAAGGUUGAAACUCAAAGGAAUUGACGGGGACCCGCACAAGCGGUGGAUGAUGUGGUUUAAUUCGAUGCAACGCGAAAAACCUUACCUACCCUUGACAUGCCAGGAAUCUUGCAGAGAUGUGAGAGUGCUCGAAAGAGAACCUGGACACAGGUGCUGCAUGGCCGUCGUCAGCUCGUGUCGUGAGAUGUUGGGUUAAGUCCCGCAACGAGCGCAACCCUUGUCAUUAGUUGCUACGAAAGGGCACUCUAAUGAGACUGCCGGUGACAAACCGGAGGAAGGUGGGGAUGACGUCAGGUCAUCAUGGCCCUUAUGGGUAGGGCUACACACGUCAUACAAUGGCCGGGACAGAGGGCUGCCAACCCGCGAGGGGGAGCUAAUCCCAGAAACCCGGUCGUAGUCCGGAUCGCAGUCUGCAACUCGACUGCGUGAAGUCGGAAUCGCCAGUAAUCGCGGAUCAGCUUGCCGCGGUGAAUACGUUCCCGGGUCUUGUACACACCGCCCGUCACACCAUGGGAGUGGGUUUUACCAGAAGUGGCUAGUCUAACCGCAAGGAGGACGGUCACCACGGUAGGAUUCAUGACUGGGGUGAAGUCGUAACAAGGUAACC